rfam:Agrilus planipennis Contig53094, whole genome shotgun sequence.
UCCUAGCUUAGUGGUCAGAGCAUUGGCGUGUAACGUCGAAGGUCCCGGGUUCGAUUCCCGGUGGGAA